CGAAUGCUGACAUAAGUAACGAUAAAGCGGGUGAAAAGCCCGCUCGCCGGAAGACCAAGGGUUCCUGUCCAACGUUAAUCGGGGCAGGGUGAGUCGACCCCUAAGGCGAGGCCGAAAGGCGUAGUCGAUGGGAAACAGGUUAAUAUUCCUGUACUUGGUGUUACUGCGAAGGGGGGACGGAGAAGGCUAUGUUGGCCGGGCGACGGUUGUCCCGGUUUAAGCGUGUAGGCUGGUUUUCCAGGCAAAUCCGGAAAAUCAAGGCUGAGGCGUGAUGACGAGGCACUACGGUGCUGAAGCAACAAAUGCCCUGCUUCCAGGAAAAGCCUCUAAGCAUCAGGUAACAUCAAAUCGUACCCCAAACCGACACAGGUGGUCAGGUAGAGAAUACCAAGGCGCUUGAGAGAACUCGGGUGAAGGAACUAGGCAAAAUGGUGCCGUAACUUCGGGAGAAGGCACGCUGAUAUGUAGGUGAAGUCCCUUGCGGAUGGAGCUGAAAUCAGUCGAAGAUACCAGCUGGCUGCAACUGUUUAUUAAAAACACAGCACUGUGCAAACACGAAAGUGGACGUAUACGGUGUGACGCCUGCCCGGUGCCG
rnacentral:rRNA from 1 species